rnacentral:rRNA from 1 species
UGCGUAGGUGGCGCCAUAAGUCAGGUGUGAAAUCUCGGGGCUUAACUCCGAAACUGCAUUUGAUACUGUGGUGCUUGAGGACUGGAGAGGAGACUGGAAUUCACGGUGUAGCAGUGAAAUGCGUAGAUAUCGUGAGGAAGACCAGUGGCGAAGGCGGGUCUCUGGAUAGUUCCUGACACUGAGGCACGAAGGCCAGGGGAGCAAACG